UGGGCACUCUGGCGAAACCGCCUCGGAUAACGGGGAGGAAGGUGGGGAUGACGUCAAGUCCUCAUGGCCUUUAUGUCCAGGGCCACACACGUGCUACAAUGGUUGGUACAAACCGUCGCAAACCCGCGAGGGGGAGCUAAUCGGAAAAAGCCAAUCCCAGUCCGGAUUGGAGUCUGCAACUCGACUCCAUGAAGCUGGAAUCGCUAGUAAUCGCAGAUCAGCACGCUGCGGUGAAUACGUUCCCGGGCCUU
rnacentral:rRNA from 1 species